CGAGGCAGGUCGGGAGGUGAGCUGGGUGCGCCACGCUCCGUGCGAGACGUGGGCAUGUCCAGUGCCUCCUUCCCUCUCCUCACGCGGACCAACUACCCCAGUUGGUCCGUCCUGAUGAAAGUCAUCAUGGAGGCGCGGCAUAUGUGGAAAGCCGUGGAAACCGGCGAUGUCGAGUACGAGGAGGACCGGUUGGCGAUGGAGGCGAUCUUGCGCUCCAUCCCACCGGAGAUGGUGCUCACCCUUGGCGCCAAGGGGACGGCCAAGGAAGCAUGGGACACCAUCAAGACUCUGCGCAUCGGCGUGGAGCGUGUACGGGAGUCGACCUUGCGCCUCCAGUACGAGGGGAUCCGGUUCAAGGCCGGUGAACAAGUCGACGACUUCACCUUGCGGCUGCAAGGUCUCGUCACCUAG
rnacentral:rRNA from 1 species